GACGAACGCUGGCGGCGUGCUUAACACAUGCAAGUCGAACGGUAAGGCCCUUCGGGGUACACGAGUGGCGAACGGGUGAGUAACACGUGGGUGAUCUGCCCUGCACUUUGGGAUAAGCCUGGGAAACUGGGUCUAAUACCGAAUACACCCUGCUGGUCGCAUGGCCUGGUGGGGGAAAGCUUUUGCGGUGUGGGAUGGGCCCGCGGCCUAUCAGCUUGUUGGUGGGGUGAUGGCCUACCAAGGCGACGACGGGUAGCCGGCCUGAGAGGGUGUCCGGCCACACUGGGACUGAGAUACGGCCCAGACUCCUACGGGAGGCAGCAGUGGGGAAUAUUGCACAAUGGGCGCAAGCCUGAUGCAGCGACGCCGCGUGAGGGAUGACGGCCUUCGGGUUGUAAACCUCUUUCAAUAGGGACGAAGCGCAAGUGACGGUACCUAUAGAAGAAGCACCGGCCAACUACGUGCCAGCAGCCGCGGUAAUACGUAGGGUGCGAGCGUUGUCCGGAAUUACUGGGCGUAAAGAGCUCGUAGGUGGUUUGUCGCGUUGUUCGUGAAAACUCACAGCUUAACUGUGGGCGUGCGGGCGAUACGGGCAGACUGGAGUACUGCAGGGGAGACUGGAAUUCCUGGUGUAGCGGUGGAAUGCGCAGAUAUCAGGAGGAACACCGGUGGCGAAGGCGGGUCUCUGGGCAGUAACUGACGCUGAGGAGCGAAAGCGUGGGGAGCGAACAGGAUUAGAUACCCUGGUAGUCCACGCCGUAAACGGUGGGUACUAGGUGUGGGUUUCCUUCCUUGGGAUCCGUGCCGUAGCUAACGCAUUAAGUACCCCGCCUGGGGAGUACGGCCGCAAGGCUAAAACUCAAAGAAAUUGACGGGGGCCCGCACAAGCGGCGGAGCAUGUGGAUUAAUUCGAUGCAACGCGAAGAACCUUACCUGGGUUUGACAUGCACAGGACGCCGGCAGAGAUGUCGGUUCCCUUGUGGCCUGUGUGCAGGUGGUGCAUGGCUGUCGUCAGCUCGUGUCGUGAGAUGUUGGGUUAAGUCCCGCAACGAGCGCAACCCUUGUCUCAUGUUGCCAGCACGUUAUGGUGGGGACUCGUGAGAGACUGCCGGGGUCAACUCGGAGGAAGGUGGGGAUGACGUCAAGUCAUCAUGCCCCUUAUGUCAAGGGCUUCACACAUGCUACAAUGGCCGGUACAAAGGGCUGCGAUGCCGUGAGGUGGAGCGAAUCCUUUCAAAGCCGGUCUCAGUUCGGAUCGGGGUCUGCAACUCGACCCCGUGAAGUCGGAGUCGCUAGUAAUCGCAGAUCAGCAACGCUGCGGUGAAUACGUUCCCGGGCCU
rnacentral:rRNA from 1 species